rnacentral:rRNA from 1 species
GACGAACGCUGGCGGCGUGCUUAACACAUGCAAGUCGAACGGAAAGGCCCUGCUUUUGUGGGGUGCUCGAAUGGCGAACGGGUGAGUAACACGUGAGUAACCUGCCCUUGACUUUGGGAUAACUUCAGGAAACUGGGGCUAAUACCGGAUAGGAGCUCCUGCUGCAUGGUGGGGGUUGGAAAGUUUCGGCGGUUGGGGAUGGACUCGCGGCUUAUCAGCUUGUUGGUGGGGUAGUGGCUGACCAAGGCUUUGACGGGUAGCCGGCCUGAGAGGGUGACCGGCCACAUUGGGACUGAGAUACGGCCCAGACUCCUACGGGAGGCAGCAGUGGGGAAUAUUGCACAAUGGGCGGAAGCCUGAUGCAGCAACGCCGCGUGCGGGAUGACGGCCUUCGGGUUGUAAACCGCUUUCGCCUGUGACGAAGCGUGAGUGACGGUAAUGGGUAAAGAAGCACCGGCUAACUACGUG